AUGCGUUUUUCAUUCGUCUCAUGCACGCUCCCUCUCCCCGGCCGGCUCUGCCCGCUGCUGAGGCCGCCGGAGCCGGGGGCGCGCGGCGCUGCGGGGCCGGGGCCCACGCGGGGCUCCGCCGCGGCGGGGGCGGCUCUGCCCGGCGCCCCCUCCCUGCCCCCCCGAGCCGGGCUAACGGCGACGGAAAGGGAGGAUGUGGCGACUAAGGACAAAGGCUCACAAGCCGCAGAGGAGGAACAGCCCGGUCAGCUACAGGCACAGGCAAUUACAGGCGACAGCCUCCUGCACACAGACCUCGCUCUUCCUCUUCCAGCUCUUCAGUUCACUGCAGUGAAGUCUUCCCAAAGGCUUUCUGAAAUCGGAGGAGAUAAAAUAUCUGUAUUCGAGUCCGAACGCUUAACACCCAGAACGGCUCCUGGGAUCACGGUUCCAACAGGAUCGUGUACGCUGCUAACGUCGUCAGCCCCUGCAAGUCUAAAAAUGGGGAAAAUACGAUUUAUUGGGAGAGAAGGAGCAAACGGCACAAGGUGUUGUUUAGGCAAGAGAAGAGUUCACAUACUUCACAGCUUAACAGAACCUGAUGGCAUGGAAGAUAUUUUUCGCCCUCCCCUUAUCUUGAUUACGAGGAGGAAAGGUAAAUUAGCCUUUGUGCCCAAGCAAACAGGGACAUCCUUCUCUGCUGAAGGGAGAACAAUCUUUGAACCCAGCCGAUCACACAGCCUCAGACAGGAGAUCUUGAGGUCCUAGCUAUUGCUACAGAAGCCGCUGUGGUCUGAAAACCAGCGUGUAGUGGUUAAGUUCAGAACAACUGCAAUACCUUUAAAAUCUUUCAAAUGUCCAAAGCCUUAUCAUAAUUCUGGAAGAACAUCCAGUCCUACCUACACUGCAAGCCGUAAACCUAGUGAAGCGACAACAAGAAGUAAUCGGGUAUUUGCACAGAGCUGUUACGAGUUCGAAGGGACAAGGGAGGUUUUGUAGUUUUCCACUCGUUUCCGGGUGGUCAGGCACCCCGCAGUCGCACUGUACCACCACAUGACAGCUCCGGUGGAGGAGAAGACCUUCCCCGAGCAGCAGCCAGCAAGUCAGAGAGGUCAGGGAUGAGCACGAGGAAUUUCCUUGGACAAGAGCAGUGGUCGCCAGCCCCGGCUCACGGGCAGUGCCCCAUUCCUCCUCACGGUGCCAUUUUGCUUCCCCCAGACUCCCGUUUUCACAAGUGAACCGUUUGGGGGGGGGGGGGGCAGGUUCACUUAAGCAGCUCCGCUCUCCCUGGCCGUGCCGGUUGCUGCUCGCGUGGGGCUCCGCGCCAGCGGGCCGCGGCCAAGGCAGCGUUGGGCAGCCACCGCAGCAGGAGCCGCCCCCGGCACCYGCUGCCCCUGCCUCCCCGCAGCGUCAGCCCAGACUUCCACCCGCCUUCAGCGAGAGGGGAGCCACCCGCCUGUCCCGCACUCUGGUCUACAACCACGCGGGGUUUCUUCGUACGCACGCGCGAGCGUUUCCCCUUUUCUUUGUUUUCCCCCCCUCCUCUCCUUUCUUUGCAAGGGUAGGGGGAGGCGACACUCUUCCCCAGAAGGGCACGUUGUACAGCUCUGAAGCAGCAGCACACCAAAACCUCCCCAUCUUUGCCGUGAUCACCCAACCACAGCUUGAGGCAGGAAGAAGAGCUGCUUCGGCAGCUAAAAGCAGCUCAGACCAUGUUUUUGUUCACAACUGAGACAGCAGCUGGCCAACCACAACUGCUACCAUCUGGGGUGGAUUUUAUAACCUGUUCCUAUCGAAGCAGRCAAGCGCGGUGCCCGAGGAGCAGGCCAGCCCUCCCUGCCCAUCAGGUGGUGCAUGCUGCAACCACCAGCAGGUAGAUGCACACCAUGCAUCGCAGGCUCCAUUUCAUAUCACAAGCACCCCUCCGGCGCCGGUGCCACCCACCUCCCCGGUGACUGCCCACGCCAGCCCUUUGCCUCUCCUCUCUGUGAGCUGUCACGGGUUAAAGGCAAAGGCGCUUCAGAGCGCCCCGAGCACAUCACAAGUUUUGGUGGRUCCUUUUUCUAUUUUGAGACAGAACUAUUCUGAGAUGGAAACUGCUUUUACAGCCGAGUUUUAAUUUUAUUCUCUUUGCUGUGAAAUGCAAACCACUCAGCUCAAAAUUCGGAGCGAGUUGGUAUGGGGCUGGCUGAGUCAUCGCAUGCGACUGGCAACAGUCUCCGGUGAUUAGACCGAGGGCACUAAACCAUUUCAUUACGAGGCACCCCAGAGAGUCAGACCUGGGAAAGGAUCAGGCACUCGGACCAGUCCUAGCAGCACCUGUCAUUGAUGGUGCAAAAAUAGUGAGGAGAGCUACUUCUACCGUAUUGUGUCAUAAUAUGACUUCGCAGUAGGUUUCGGGAGUUUUGCAGCAUCACCACUGACUUGCCAUGAAACGCUGUAAAUACACAAAUGGGAAACCACAGCAACAUAGAGUUCUAAUGAAAUUCCAGAAUUCCAGCAUGAAAACUGGUCAAUUUGAAAUAUUCUUCCUGUUAGAAUUCUAAUAAAAAGACUUUUCUUAAAUGGUAGACCA
ensembl:lncRNA uncharacterized LOC112972889